rnacentral:rRNA from 1 species
UACAGAGGGUGCGAGCGUUAAUCGGAAUUACUGGGCGUAAAGCGUGCGUAGACGGUUAUGUAAGUCAGGUGUGAAAGCCCCGGGCUCAACCUGGGAAUUGCAUUUGAGACUGCAUAGCUAGGGUGCGGAAGAGGGAAGCGGAAUUUCCGGUGUAGCGGUGAAAUGCGUAGAUAUCAGGAAGAACACCCGUGGCGAAAGCGGCUCUCUGGAACGGUACUGGACGCU